GUCGAUCAGAGUAGGCUAUGGAGUCUCUCUACAUCUCGAGUAAGAUCAGCUAACUGAGGUGAAGUACUGCUCGAUGUGUUCACUCCUGUCGAUAGAGAAUCCAAUAUCAGUCUGAUCUUCCUCUCAAUAUCAAAGAUCCUGUCACUAAACCUGAGCAUGGAGCUCUCUACACUUUCCAGUUUGGAGCUCAGGUUAGAUAAAAACUGUACCAAUGAGGGAAUGUGUGGCACUACUG
rnacentral:lncRNA from 1 species